AUUGAACGCUGGCGGCAGGCCUAACACAUGCAAGUCGAACGAGUGGCGGACGGGUGAGUAAUGUCUGGGAACCUGCCUGAUGGCGGGGGAUAACUACUGGAAACGGUAGCUAAUACCGCAUACACUCAGAUGUGCCCAGAUGGGAUUAGCUUGUUGGGGGGGUAACGGCUCACCAAGGCAACGAUCCCUAGCUGGUCUGCGAGGAUGACCAGCCACCUUGGAAGUGAGACACGGUCCAGACUCCUACGGUAGGCAGCAGUGGGGAAUAUUGCACAAUGGGCGAAAGCCUGAGUCAGGCAUGCCGCGUGUAUGAAGAAGGCCUUCGGGUUUGAAAGUACUUUCAGCGGAGAGGCGUUACCCGCAGAAUAAGCACCGGCUAACUCCGUGCCAGCCGCCGCGGUAAUAC
rnacentral:rRNA from 1 species